GGUCAGCUGACACAUCCGGCCAAUCUCCAGCAGACCCUCCCUCCCAGACCCUUCCACCUCCUGGACAGCAUCCAUGUUGAAGGCAGCUUCAACAUGGAUGCUGUCCAGGAGGUGGGAGGGCCUGGGAGGGAGGGUCUGCUGGAGAUUGGCCGGAUGUGUCAGCUGA
rnacentral:miRNA from 1 species